rnacentral:rRNA from 1 species
AGAGUUUGAUCAUGGCUCAGGACGAACGCUGGCGGCGUGCUUAACACAUGCAAGUGGAGCGACGAACCAGGGCUUGCCCUGGGGCAGAGCCGCGAACGGGUGAGUAACACGUGGGUUACCUACCCCGAUGACCGGGACAACCCGAGGAAACUCGGGCUAAUACCGGAUGUGGUCUUCGGACGAAAGGAAGCUUCGGCCUCCGCAUCGGGAUGGGCCCGCGGCGCAUUAGCUUGUUGGUGGGGUAACGGCCUACCAAGGCGACGAUGCGUAGCUGGUCUGAGAGGACGAUCAGCCACACUGGGACUGAGACACGGCCCAGGCUCCUACGGGAGGCAGCAGUGGGGAAUCUUGCGCAAUGCGCGAAAGCGUGACGCAGCAACGCCGCGUGGGGGAAGAAGGCCUUCGGGUUGUAAACCUCUUUCAGUUGGGACGAAGCCUCGUCGGUUAAUAGCUGACUGGGGUGACGGUACCUUCAGAAGAAGCCCCGGCUAACUACGUGCCAGCAGCGGCGGUAAUAC